rnacentral:rRNA from 1 species
GACCGUGCGAAGGUAGCGUAAUCACUUGUCUUUUAAAUGAAGACCUGUAUGAAUGGCACGACGAGGGCUUGACUGUCUCCUUCCUCCAGUCAAUGAAAUUGAUCUCCCCGUGCAGAAGCGGAGAUUCUUACAUAAGACGAGAAGACCCUAUGGAGCUUUAGACUAUUAAGGCAGACUAUGUUAAGCACUCAAGAACAAACGACCGAACAGUAUACACACUGUCCUUAUUAUCUUUGGUUGGGGCGACCCUGGGGAAACACAAAACCCCCAUGAAGACAGGGAGAACAAACUCCUACAAGUACGAGCCACAACUCUAACUUACAGAACUUCUGACUUACAUGAUCCGGCCACGCCGAUCAACGGACCGAGUUACCCUAGGGAUAACAGCGCAAUCCUCUUCUAGAGCUCUUAUCGACAAGAGGGUUUACGACCUCGAUGUUGGAUCAGGACAUCCUGAUGGGUGCAGCAGCUAUUAAGGGGUUCGUUUGUUCAACGAUUAACAGUCCUACGUGAUCUGAGAGUUUCAGACCGG